GAGCGAACGCUGGCGGCAGGCUUAACACAUGCAAGUCGAGCGGGCCCUUCGGGGUCAGCGGCAGACGGGUGAGUAACACGUGGGAACGUACCCUUUGGUUCGGAAUAACGCUGGGAAACUAGCGCUAAUACCGGAUACGCCCUUUUGGGGAAAGGCUUGCUGCCGAAGGAUCGGCCCGCGUCUGAUUAGCUAGUUGGUGGGGUAAUGGCCUACCAAGGCGACGAUCAGUAGCUGGUCUGAGAGGAUGAUCAGCCACACUGGGACUGAGACACGGCCCAGACUCCUACGGGAGGCAGCAGUGGGGAAUAUUGGACAAUGGGCGCAAGCCUGAUCCAGCCAUGCCGCGUGAGUGAUGAAGGCCUUAGGGUUGUAAAGCUCUUUUGUCCGGGACGAUAAUGACGGUACCGGAAGAAUAAGCCCCGGCUAACUUCGUG
rnacentral:rRNA from 1 species